GAUGAACGCUGGCGGCGUGCCUAAUACAUGCAAGUCGAGCGAACAGACGAGGAGCUUGCUCCUUCGACGUUGGCGGCGGACGGGUGAGUAACACGAAGGUAACCUACCUAUAAGACUGGGAUAACUUCGGGAAACCGGAGCUCACACCGGAUAAUAUUUCGAACCGCAUGGUUCGAUAGUGAAAGAUGGCUUUGCUAUCACUUAUAGAUGGAACUGCGCCGGAUUAGCUAGUUGGUAAGGUAACGGCUUACCAAGGCAACGAUCCGUAGCCGACCUGAGAGGGUGAUCGGCCACACUGGAACUGAGACACGGUCCAGACUCCUACGGGAGGCAGCAGUAGGGAAUCUUCCGCAAUGGGCGAAAGCCUGACGGAGCAACGCCGCGUGAGUGAUGAAGGUCUUCGGAUCGUAAAGCUCUGUUAGUAGGGAAGAACAAACGUGUAAGUGACUGUGCACGUCUUGACGGUACCUAAACAGAAAGCCCCGGCUAACUACGUG
rnacentral:rRNA from 1 species